rnacentral:rRNA from 1 species
UACAGAGGUCUCAAGCGUUGUUCGGAUUCAUUGGGCGUAAAGGGUGCGUAGGCGGCGCGGUAAGUCGGGUGUGAAAUCUCGGAGCUUAACUCCGAAACUGCAUUCGAUACUGCCGUGCUUGAGGACUGGAGAGGAGACUGGAAUUUACGGUGUAGCGGUGAAAUGCGUAGAUAUCGGAAGGAACACCAGUGGCGAAGGCGACUUCCUGGCCUGAUACUGACACUGAGGCGCGAAAGCGUGGGGAGCGAACAGG